ensembl:misc_RNA Metazoa_SRP Metazoan signal recognition particle RNA
GCCAGGCAUGGUGGUGCAUGCCUGUAGUCCCAGCUACUCGGGAAGCUGAGGUGGGAGGUUUGCUUGAGCCCAGGAGUUCUGGGUUGUACUGCAUUAUGCUAAUCGAUUGUCUGCACUAAGUUCAGCAUCAAAAUGGUGACCUCCCAGAAGUGGGUGACCACCAGGUUGCCUAAGUAAGGGAGAACCAGUCCAGGUUAGAAACAGAGCAGGUCAAAACUCCUAUGCUGAUCAGUGGUGGGAUUGCACCUGUGAAUAGCCACUGCACUCCAGCCUGGGCAGCAUAUCAAAACCCCAUCUCUA